AGAAGAUCAUUAGACUUGCAUUGCAUUGCAUUCUAGUUGUUUUAUGACCUCCAAAGGCAACUGAAGAACUAGCACAUCAACAACAGCAACAACAACAACAACAACAGCAAGUGUCUUUAAGAACUCCAAAUAACCCCUACAUCACUGGAGGCAUAUUGUUCCUAUCAGCAUGCAUUGUACCAAAAGAGGAAAGUUGGCUGUACUCUCCAUUGGUGUGUUGGUUGCUAUGAUCCUCGUCUGUUACUUCUACUUGAUCCAAAAGAGCAGAUUCCGCUUUGCCGUAUCUGGUUCCAAAUUGUUAGAAUACAACCAGGCAGCAAUCACAAGCGAUUCAUCUAUGUGUUCCCAACUUGGCAUGUCAAUUCUGAGGGAGAAGAACGGAAGUACAAUUGAUUCUGUCAUUGUCACUUUGGUUUGUAUGGCACUUGACCAACCGAUGUCCACAGGAAUUGGAGGCAGUUUAAUUAUGAAUAUCUAUGACAGUAAAUCUCAAAAGAAUGUCAUCAUAGAUGCCUCUGGUAAAUCACCACAUCAUGUGGCCAGCCUGAAGAAUAUGUCUCACCUGAAAGGUCCUUCAUCAGUGACUGUUCCUGGGCAACUGUACGGUCUAUGGCAGGCACAUCAGAUGUAUGGCUCGUUACCAUGGAAACACUUGUUUGCUCCUGUGAUACACCUUGCAACACAAGGUUUUAAUGUCUCGCGUUUACUGGCUAAUACCCUCAAAGAAAUGGAGUCUGAAGUUAAGGAUCAGCCCCUACUCAGAGAGCUGUAUGUAAAUGAGGCAACAAGACAUGUUUAUCAAGAAGGAGACCUCAUGAAACACCCAAGACUAGCAAAAUCACUGAAGAUAAUCUCUGAGGAAGGAUUUCUUGCUGUCUAUAAUGGCUCCUUGUCUAAUGCCAUUGUUGAAGAUCUGAGAGAUGCUGGUGAAGGAUCUCUUAUGUCCUUGAGUGACCUCACCUCUUAUAAUGUAAAGUUUCCAGCCCCAUUAAGGACAAGACUGUCCAACGGUGACCAAGUGAUGGCAACCCCACCUCCAUCGAGUGGCCCAAUAGUGCAACUGAUACUCAAUGUUCUUGACCUGUAUGAGUUCAAGCCCAACUACCGCACCAACCUCAACAUGUUCGCCACUACGCUACACAGGAUCAUCGAAACAUUCAAGUUUGCGUACGGCAUCCGAUCCCGACUGGAGGAGCCCGGCUUUGAUGAAGACGUCACACAGUUCCUUGUCAAUUUAACAUCAACAGAGUGGGCCACCGGGAUUAAAUCACAGAUCGAUGACCAUAGCACAUAUGAGAGUGGAUAUUAUAACCCUGGCACCCUCAAUGAGGAAGGUUUAGGGACCACCCAUCUGAAUUGCAUCGGCUUGGAUGGUAUUGCUGUAUCAGUGACUAGCUCACUCAACCAUAGGUUUGGUGCCCAGAUUUUGGGACGAAGGACUGGAAUCUUGUUUAACAAUGGAAUGGCAGCGUUCUCAACACCAAGCAGACACAAUCGCAGUGCCUCAAUAAACCAACCUCUCCCUAAUUUGAUCGGGGCCAACAAGUCUCCUAUGUCCUAUGUGUCACCAAUUAUUAUGACAGACAACACAGGCAACACCAAACUGGUUAUUGGAGCCUCUGGAGGAACUAAAAUUAUUUCUUCUCUCUCCUAUGUGAUGAACAAUCUAGUGUGGUUCAAUGACACUAUCAAAGAAGCCAUUGAUGCCCUCAGAGUUCACAACCAGAUCAUUCCAGCACAGACUAAUACUGAAGACUACUUACCAAAGAAAGUGAUUGAGAAACUGAAGAAAUUUGGUCAUGAUAUCACUAGUUAUGGAUCUCUUUCAUUUGUCCAUGGAAUAUACCAGAAAAAUGGCACCUUUUCCGUUAACAUUGAUUAUAGAAGUGGAGCAAUUCCAGCAGGGUUUUAAAAGAGGCAAUGCUUCUAAAGAGUAAGGGCAAAGAAAUGAAAUUGAACCUACUUUCAAACAUAAUCUAUGACCCUUCUAAACAAAAUCCUACACCUCACACACACACACACACAUUUCCGCUCUUAAUAUUUACCCCAUAAGAUAUAUCACCCAUCCCCAAAAAUCUUAUCACUCAAUCCCACAAAUAUUUGUCUUCUACCCUCAUAAAAUAUACUCCACACCCAAUAAAAAUAUAUUCCUCAUCCCUACAAAAUCUAUCCUACCCAUCACAAAAUAUACCUCACCCACUGCAUCAAAAACAAGGAAUACAACAAUUUAAAAGUUUCAAAAUGGACUUGUCCAAAAGGUAGAGAAAAUUUUAUGGAUAGAAUAGUAGAUCAACAGAUUUUGUAAUUUGCUGGACAAAAAAUAGUUGCAAUUCAUUAGGUUUUGAUUUCAAAUCCUGCUGAGGUCAAAUUUAGUUUGUUUUUUUUUUUGUUUCUGGGAUCAAUAAUCAAAAAAAGUACCAAUCAAAAACUGGAGUUGAUAUCAUUGAUUUUUGCCCCUCACUAAUUUAUGGCUUUGUGUCAUUGUUAGAAACCUAUAUUUUAGAAUGGACCAGUCCAUCAUCACUUGUAAUUAGGGACAUUAAUUAAAGUUGUUAAACUACAUCUAGUCAAUUACAGUAAACUUCUCAACAAAAAUUGAGGUCCUGUGAACUGCGAAUCAGUAGAGCAACGAAUUAAAUGCCUUGUGGUAUUUAAUUACAUCUUUUAAUGUUUUGAGUUCAAAUCCUAUUGCAGUCAACUUUUCCUUUCGCCCUUCCAGGGUUAAUGAAAUAAAGUAGGAAUCAAGUACUGGGGUUGAUAUAAUUCAUGGUAUCCCUUCCAGAAAAUUGUAGAAAUCCCUACUGGAGGGUGGAGUGACAGAUAUGGUACCUGUUACAUCCAUUAACAGCCAUGUCACAGCAUCACUUGCUGUUUUGUUACACCCUGUGACACACAUGUCAGAGUCAGACAUCAAAUACCAUGUGGCAUUUUCAUCUCAUCCUGAUCCAUUAUGCCUUUCAUCUCUUUGAGAUUACUAAUAAAUCCAGUUAAAUCCUGAGGGUUAUUAGAAUCAACUAUAUCCCAAUCUUGGCCUUGUGAUUGUGUUGAAAACUAUUAUUAUCAUCACUCUGAGUUCAAAUGCUGUUGAGGUCAGCUUGACCUUAUAUUCUUUCAGGGUCAAUAAAUAAGUACUAAUGGAGCACUGGGAUAAGUGUAAUUGUCAACCUCUCAAAAUCGCUGACCAUGGGCCAAAAUUUCAAAGAAUUAUUAUCAUUUUUACUAUUAUUAUUAUUAUUAUUAUUAUUAUUAUCAUUAUUAUUA
rnacentral:misc_RNA from 1 species